rnacentral:lncRNA from 1 species
CCCGGGCUGGGGGGUCUCAGGCUGGGGGGUCUGGGGCUGGGGAAGAUCCUGGCCCCAGUGUGAGGGGGGCUGGGUCUGAGAGGGUCCUGGGUUGAUCUGGGGUGGGGGGAUCUGAUCUGAGGGGGUCCUGGGCUGAGGGAUCUGGGUCUGGGGGGUCGCAGUCCCAGGCUGAGGUAGACCCCGGGCUGGGGGUGAUCGCGGCCCCAGUGUGAGGGGGUCCCGGUCUGAGGGGGUCCUGGGUCAGUGUGGGGGAUGUGGGUCCCUGCCUGAGGUGGGGGGAUCUGAUCUGAGGGGGGUCCUGGAGCCGGUCCCGGUCUGAGGGGGUCCUGGACCUGGUCCUGGUCUGAGGGGGUCCCUGUUAGAGGGGAUCCCGGGCCCAAGGAAGAUUUGGGUCCCUGCCUGGGGUGGGGGGAUCCAGUCUGAGGAGAGCCCAGGUUUGAAGGGGGUCCUGGUUUGAGGGGGUCCCAAUCUGAGGGGGUCCCGAUCCCUGUCCCGGCCCCGCUCCGUGGCACAGCCCCUUGUACCCCCACUCCUCGGAGCCUCACCCAGCCCCGAGCGGGGCCCUCCCGGACCUGUGGGGUCCCCCCAGAGCUUGUGGGGCUCCCCCGGGGCCUGGCCUGGCCUCUACCAAGGUGCCCAGGGCUGGUCACAGCCCACGGCUGCCCCUCCACGGGGCUGCCCCCGUGGGAUCCACGGCCACCCAGGGCUGAGGGGUCCCCAGGGCGAUGGCUCUGGGGGGGGUGGCUCUGGGGCCGGUGACCCCCAAGGGGGACGUGCAGCCAUCACCGACCUUUUCUCUGGGAAUCUCGGUAAAUACGUCAGCUUCGGGGUGGAGAAAUCUCUUGUGCUCCCUCUUGGGGGAUUUGGGGUCUGGGAGGGAUGCGGUGGAGCCCCGAGGCCGAGCAACGGGCACGGGAGGCAGGGUUUGUGCUGCCUGGGGUCGUUCUCCUUCAUGCACGGCAUCCGUGGGUUUGCGCAGCAGCUCCUGUCCCUCGUGCAGCCGAAGGCUUUGGCUUUCCUCCCGGUGCCACGGCCAGCCGGUUGGGAAGGGACAAGCGGACGGCAUGCUGCGUGAUCGCUGCGGGACGGUCCCGGUGCUUCACGGGGCCAGGAGGACGACAGCUGAGCGUAGCCCACUGACGGCCCAGCGUCAGACCGCGGCCGAUUCACGUUUGGGGUGAGGUCCGUGUUUGUGCCAGUCCUCGGCUGCCAGUCCCUAAAAGGGAUAGCACCCAAAGCCAGCCCGACCGUUUCCAGCUCUGAUUCCCUCCGGCAGUCCUGGAGGAGAAGUUAACCCCUUUCGCCAUAGGCAGUCCAAAGGGAACGAGUAAACCCAUUUCACACGUCGGCAUAAACUCGUCAUCACGUGCUUGUACGCCGAGCUUUUCCACACCCCGAUGCCCUCCUGCACAAACGCUGUGCAAGAGGGAUGUCUCUGUUAGUCAUAAUCUCCGUGGGAAGGGGCUGUGGGAGGAACAGCUUUCUGGUGGUCAGGGCAUCGCUCUGCCUCGAUUUCCAUCCCGUGUCUGGAUGUGGUCCUAGAGGCGAUGCUGCCCGUGGUACGGCUGUGUCCAGCUGUGGCUUCAGUGCUCAGGGUGCAGAGCUGUGGCCCGUGGGGC